ensembl:lncRNA
GGGGGGGAAUUCAGUGUUAUGUAAAACAGUACAGAUUGUCUAGGACUGAGAUGCAGCUGCCGCUCUGCUACACGAGAUGAGAGAGACAGAGAGAGUGGAGAAAAAGAGAGUGGGAGAGGGGCAAACGCCUGGGUCAAACUGACAUGAAGACAGAGAACGUCCGAGAGGAAGAGCUCUCUGCUCACUGAUGCUGGCUAGAUUCAAGUUAUUUUUUGCUGAAGGGUCUUUUUUGCUAUCCGGACACUGAUGAAAAAUGCAGUCUUUUACUCAUAAGGUCUGAUUGGUACUGACCACAAAUUCCUUCGACUUCACCCUCCUUCUAUAACCUCUCCUGUGGUAUAACCUACUGCUGUGCCCUUCUUCAACUCACCCACGCAAAUCGCCGUGUGAUCGCACUAAAACGGCUUUUGAAAAUAAAUGCUACGAUACACUUUAAGAUAACUACCUGCUUUAGAGCUUCGGGACAGGCUGUUUUGAAGCGGCUCAGUCAGUAGUAGGCUAGCUUUUAGUUGUUUUUUAAUUUUUUUAUUUAGUUUAGGAAUUAGGUAACCCGUGUAGGCAAUUCAGGACUGAGCUCAUGUUAAUGUAGGCUUGUUGAUUUUUCUGUCUGAGGCAACUUCCAUUAGGCUAGUGAAUGUCACAGGCAAGUGUAGGGUCGCAUUCCUGACGCCAGUAGAGGCUGUUGGUCGACAUCGCUCAUGCACUUGACAGAAACAAAAACAAAAGCUGAGAGCACGUCAAGAGAACGAUUAAUUAAUUGAUCACAAGACACUCUCGAUUUCAGUCAAACUAAUUAUUUUAUUCAGUGGGCCCUGUCCCACUGCGCAGGCUACCACAUAGGAAAAGAACGUGCUAACGCAUUGAUGUCUAAAUAUAAUCCUCAUCCAAACUGUACAAUUACCUUAAAAACUCGUACAGCAAGUAUAUCAUCAGCCUCUGCAAAUCGUAUACGGCCAGGCUACUUACCCUCCGUGUCCAAAACAGCCAGUUGAUUGAAAUAGUUGUGCGUCGGGUCCAUGCGCAUGAUUGUUUUUUUUUUUAUUAUGGUGUUUUUUCUUCCUUUUGCCUACCCGCAGCCAGUGUGAUUCCUCAAGUUGUUGUCAGCUGUGCUCAACCAAGAAACAUAUUGUCUGAGCUUACAAAACAUAAAAAAAACAAGUAAUGCACCACUGAUCAUCCCAGCGCAGUCAUUCGCCACUGUCAACCGAGAUGCCAAACAAGUCGGUUACAGAGCGCAGGCAGGGCUGACGUACCACGUUAAGCCCCGGGUCGAGGUGAUGUUGGGGGUAGGGGGGAGAGGGAGGGGUGUCGGAUACACGGCGG